GCAACAGUGAACUGUGAUGUGUAGUCAUGUGCUGUAUCAAAUUGUGCUAUAAAUCAGGUCAUCAAUCCAAACCUAUCUAUAGUCACAUUCUGUUACAUGACAUGGAGUGUCAGAAGUCGGCUCUUCAUGACCACUGCUGUGAGAACCAAAAAUCCUACUUUGUUGGAGAAUUUCUUUUUAUGUGACGCACAAACAUCCUUAGUGGUUGAACCUACUCAGCUGGGCCCAAUCAACAGAGCUAGUCCUUAUCUGUGGAAACCAGGAAAAACACAAGACAGGACAUAUAAACUAAGAGAUAUAUAAUUUGAUCUCAGCUGGCCUAUCAGCUAUUCUAAUUGCAGUUCCUCAUUGUUUCCAUUGCUGUCUACAGGUAAAUGCCAGAACAAUACCUUGAAAUAAGUUCUGACUGCUUCUGUCAA